GACGAACGCUGGCGGCGUGCUUAACACAUGCAAGUCGAGCGGUAAGGCCCUUUCGGGGUACGACGAGCGGCGAACGGGUGAGUAACACGUGGGUGACCUGCCCUCAGCUCUGGGAGUAAGCCUGGGAAACUGGGUCGUAAUACCGGAUAUGACUCCAUGACGCAUGUUGUGGGGUGGAAAGCCUUGUGCGGCUGAGGAUGGGCCCGCGGCCUAUCAGCUUGUUGGUGGGGUGAGGCCUACCAAGGCGACGACGGGUAGCCGGCCUGAGAGGGCGACCGGCCACACUGGGACUGAGACACGGCCCAGACUCCUACGGGAGGCAGCAGUGGGGAAUCUUGCGCAAUGGGCGAAAGCCUGACGCAGCGACGCCGCGUGAGGGAUGACGGCCU
rnacentral:rRNA from 1 species